rnacentral:rRNA from 1 species
GUAACGGCGAGUGAAGCGGUAACAGCUCAAAUUUGAAAUCUGGUCCCCUCUGGGGGCCCGAGUUGUAAUUUGAAGAGGAUGCUUUUGGCGAGGCGCCUUCCGAGUGCCCUGGAACGGGACGCCACAGAGGGUGAGAGCCCCGUAUGGUAGGACGCCGAGCCUCUGUAAAGCUCCUUCGACGAGUCGAGUAGUUUGGGAAUGCUGCUCAAAAUGGGAGGUAAACCCCUUCUAAAGCUAAAUAUUGGCCAGAGACCGAUAGCGCACAAGUAGAGUGAUCGAAAGAUGAAAAGCACUUUGAAAAGAGAGUUAAACAGCACGUGAAAUUGUUGAAAGGGAAGCGCUUGCGACCAGACUUGCGCCCGUCGGAUCAACCGUCCCUCGUGGGCGGCGCACUCCGGCGGGCUCAGGCCAGCAUCAGUUUUCCUGGGGGGAGAAAGGCGGCGGGAAUGUGGCUCUUCGGAGUGUUAUAGCCCGCCGUGUAAUGCCCCCGGGGGGACUGAGGACCGCGCGAAAGCAAGGAUGCUGGCGUAAUGGUCGUCAGCGACCCGUCUUGAAACACGGACC